GAGCCGUGCUGCAAUGCUAGUUUUGUGUUGCUUUAUGCAGGUAACGCGAGAGUUCGAUAACUUGGAGAAAUUGAUUUAAUUCACUGAAAACUUGGUUAAUAAUUUAAUAACAUGUUUGCUGUGUUGUGUUAUAUCUGAUGUGUGACCUUAUCAUCUGCGAUCUGAUGCCAUGGACCAAGAAAUAGAAAGCAGGAUGUGAAAAUGACUUCAACAUGCAUCAGAUAGGAAGGAAUGUAUCAUAUUCCUAAGCUGGACCAGAGAAAGACUGUUUCUUCUGAGCAAUAUCAACUGCUAAGGAGACCACAGACCACUUUUCAUACAUACAUUGAAAUCUGUAGCUGAAGAAGAGAUUAACCGAAUCUGCUGCCAUUAGCCUAAUGCCACUCUAUUGACAACCAGGGGGAGCAGCUCAGAAACA